CGGCGGACGGGUGAGUAACACGUGGGUAACCUACCUAUAAGACUGGGACAACUUCGGGAAACCGGAGCUAAUACCGGAUAAGAUAUCGAACCGCAUGGUUCGAUAGUGAAAGAUGGUUUUGCUAUCACUUAUAGAUGGACCCGCGCCGUAUUAGCUAGUUGGUGAGGUAACGGCUCACCAAGGCAACGAUACGUAGCCGACCUGAGAGGGUGAUCGGCCACACUGGAACUGAGACACGGUCCAGACUCCUACGGGAGGCAGCAGNG
rnacentral:rRNA from 1 species